UCUUGUGUUGUUGUGUUUUUUAAACAGCCCAAAGAUAAAUUACUGUCAUUAAAGACAAAUCCUAGACAUGUGCCUGACCCAUGAAGUGUCUCACUCAUCGAAAGAAAACAAGGCUGUGAGCAAAACACCGACCUGGCACCUUGGGAAAAGCCAACAGGAGCUCUAGAGGCUGAAGGAGGGAGAUAGAUUUAUUAGUUACCCAGAGAGCCUCCUGGCCAAUGCAAGGAUACUUGAAGCAUGCCCUUAGCACAUCCCUUUUUCUGGCUCUGGCUGGAGGAGAGAUGUAAGUACACACACAUAUGUACACACUGUGCAUUUGCAGAGUUUCUAGUUAUUUCUUUUGUCUAAUUAUGGAUAGAUGAAGCCAAGUUGCCUGAGGGAGAGAAAUGGAAUAAAAAGGAGAGGGCUUAGAAGGGGAAAAAAAAAAUAUUAAGAGGCUAUUCUAUUUUAAGGCCUAAAGUUGUCACUAGAUCACCUAGUUUAUACUUUGAAGUGCAGGCCAAAUAAUUUUGUUCAGUUUCUUUUUUCCUGGGGCCAAAUGCUUGAGUGAGGUGGGUCUGGACCAGAAAGGCUGGUGUUCCCAUGAUUUACAGAUUUUUCUGUCUCUUUUCUGGGGAAACUGAGAUGACUAUAAUUCCAAAUAUAGUUGUAUCUGCUUGAAGUAGCUCCUGUAAAAUCUAUGAUCUCUUCUGAUUUUCUCCCUUUCUUGUUAGAAUUAUUUUUUUUCUGUGUGGAAAUUUUAUUACUUCUUUGAUUUGAAGCCAUUUAUUAAAAAAACAAAACAAAACAAAACAAAACAAAAAAACUAAAAAUUGAGAUUUUACUAAAAGCACUUUGGGGAAAGUAUCUGAGCAGUCUGACUAUUCUUAUUAGUCCCUGUUUGUAGUGCUACUUUUUAUGAAAAUAAUAAGCAA